GACGAACGCUGGCGGCGUGCUUAACACAUGCAAGUCGAACGGAAAGGCCCUGCUUUUGUGGGGUGCUCGAGUGGCGAACGGGUGAGUAACACGUGAGUAACCUGCCCUUGACUUUGGGAUAACUUCAGGAAACUGGGGCUAAUACCGGAUAGGAGCUCCUGCUGCAUGGUGGGGGUUGGAAAGUUUCGGCGGUUGGGGAUGGACUCGCGGCUUAUCAGCUUGUUGGUGGGGUAGUGGCUUACCAAGGCUUUGACGGGUAGCCGGCCUGAGAGGGUGACCGGCCACAUUGGGACUGAGAUACGGCCCAGACUCCUACGGGAGGCGGCAGUGGGGAAUAUUGCACAAUGGGCGGAAGGCUGAUGCAGCAACGCCGCGUGCGGGAUGACGGCCUUAGGGUUGUAAACCGCUUUCGCCUGUGACGAAGCGUGAGUGACGGUAAUGGGUAAAGAAGCACCGGCUAACUACGUG
rnacentral:rRNA from 1 species